CAACGAUGAACUUUUGUCCCUACGGGGUAAUGGCGAUAUGUAAAUUGUUUUCAAUGACGACAUGUACAGGUUGAGCAAUGCAAUUAUAAACGGUCGUUUCAAUUUGUCAACAUUGGGACGCGUGAAGUCUGAGAGUGGUACAAGAACUGGUAGAGCUGGAAUAUGUGGAUAGAAAAAGAUGCAAAGUUCAACCAUAUUGCAAAGUUUGAGUUGUGGGAACCCCAUACUACUAAGCAGCUACUCAUCCACUUCUGCUUGUCUA